rnacentral:tRNA from 1 species
GAGGGUAUAGCUCAGUGGCAGAGUGCAUGCUUAGCAUGCACAAGGUUCUGGGUUCAAUCCCCAGUACCUCCA